UGUCCUACCCAUCAAGCUGCCCUACUUGUUGUUACUGCGCAUGCGCACAAUUCAAAACGGCCAUGUUUCCGGUGUAAAUAGUACACGCCUAUUAUUUCAUCCUACCCCGAUCUUGUGCCGAUCUCGUUGCUUUCGAAAAAAGUUAUGGAGAACAAAUACGAGGAACUGCUCAUGUUUCUGUCUGCUGGGUCCUACCCAUCGGAAUACGAUAAGUCCCAGAGGCAAACCCUUAGGAGAUAUGCCGCAAAAUUCAGGCUGAAGGGCGGAGUGCUCUCGUUUGGAAACAGGAGAGUGAUAAA